rnacentral:rRNA from 1 species
CACACCGCCGUCACAUCACGAAAGUCAGUUGUACCGGAAGCCGGUGCGCUAACCCUCGGGAGGCAGCCGUCCAUGGUAUGACUGGCGAUUGGGGUG